rnacentral:tRNA from 1 species
GGGGAUUUAGCUUAGUGGUAGAGCGCUUGCCUAGGAAGCAUAAGGCCCUGGGUUCGGUUCCCAGCUCCG